GUUCUCACUUUGGCAGCACAUUUACUAAAACUGGACAAUAUGGAAAAGAUUACCAUGGCCCCUAUGAAAGAAUUUCACGCAAAUUCGUGAGGAAUUCCAUAUUUUU
ensembl:snRNA U6 U6 spliceosomal RNA